CACAGUUUGCAGCAUCUAGAACAUUAUUUGCUUUAAUUCAAAUUGUGGUCUUCAAUUUUGGGUCUCACAAUUCCUGGAUUAAGUUCAUUGAAAAGGUACAACAUAUUGGCGUAUGGCAUGACCUCUAUCAUCAACAAGAAGCCGAUGAAAGUAGAUGUCUAGUAGAAACAAUUUAGAUGUAAACUUGUUAGAGUUAUGUGAC
rnacentral:lncRNA from 1 species